GACGAACGCUGGCGGCAUGCCUAACACAUGCAAGUCGAACGGUAAGGCUUCCUUCGGGAAGUACACGAGUGGCGAACGGGUGAGUAACACGUGGGUAACCUACCCUUGACUGGGGGACAACCGAGGGAAACUUCGGCUAAUACCGCAUAACGUGCAUUGCCUCAAGGUGGUGUACCAAAGCUCCGGCGGUUAAGGAUGGGCCCGCGGCAGAUUAGCUUGUUGGUGAGGUAACGGCUUACCAAGGCGACGAUCAGUAGCUGGUCUGAGAGGAUGAUCAGCCACAUUGGGACUGAGACACGGCCCAAACUCCUACGGGAGGCAGCAGUGGGGAAUCUUGCGCAAUGGGCGAAAGCCUGACGCAGCCAUGCCGCGUGAAUGAUGAAGGUCUUAGGAUUGUAAAAUUCUUUCACCGGGGACGAUAAUGACGGUACCCGGAGAAGAAGCCCCGGCUAACUUCGUGCCAGCCGCCGCCGUAA
rnacentral:rRNA from 1 species